UACGGAGGGGGCUAGCGUUGUCCGAAGUUACUGGGCGUAAAGCGCGCGUAGGCGGGUUGGUAAGUCCGCUGUGAAAGCCCGGAGCUCAACUCCGGAGGGUCGGUGGAUACUGCCAGUCUUGAAGGUGCUAGGGGGAGAUGGGAUUACCGGUGUAGCGGUGAAAUGCGUAGAUAUCGGUAGGAACACCAGUGGCGAAGGCGGUCUCCUGGGGCAUUCUUGACGCUGAGGCGCGAAAGCUGGGGGAGCGAACGGG
rnacentral:rRNA from 1 species